rnacentral:rRNA from 1 species
UACAGAGGUCUCAAGCGUUGUUCGGAUUCAUUGGGCGUAAAGGGCGCGUAGGCGGUCAGCACAAGUCAGUUGUGAAAUCUCCGGGCUUAACUCGGAAAGGUCAACUGAUACUGUGCGACUAGAGUGCGGAAGGGGCAACUGGAAUUCUUGGUGUAGCGGUGAAAUGCGUAGAUAUCAAGAGGAACACCUGCGGCGAAGGCGGGUUGCUGGGCCGACACUGACGCUGAGGCGCGAAAGCCAGGGGAGCGAACGGG